UAGCUAGUUGGUGAGGUAACGGCUUACCAAGGCGACGAUCUGUAGCGGGUCUGAGAGGAUGAUCCGCCACACUGGAACUGAGACACGGUCCAGACUCCUACGGGAGGCAGCAGUGGGGAAUUUUGGACAAUGGGGGCAACCCUGAUCCAGCCAUGCCGCGUGAGUGAAGAAGGCCUUCGGGUUGUAAAGCUCUUUCGGCCGGGAAGAAAUCGCAUGGGCCAAUACCCUGUGUGGAUGACGGUACCGGAAUAAGAAGCACCGGCUAACUACGUGCCAGCAGCCGCGGUAAUACGUAGGGUGCGAGCGUUAAUCGGAAUUACUGGGCGUAAAGCGUGCGCAGGCGGUUUUGUAAGACAGGCGUGAAAUCCCCGGGCUCAACCUGGGAACUGCGUUUGUGACUGCAAGGCUAGAGUACGGCAGAGGGGGGUGGAAUUCCACGUGUAGCGGUGAAAUGCGUAGAGAUGUGGAGGAACACCAAUGGCGAAGGCAGCCCCCUGGGUCGAUACUGACGCUCAUGCACGAAAGCGUGGGUAGCAAACAGGAUUAGAUACCCUGGUAGUCCACGCCCUAAACUAUGUCAACUAGGUGUUGGGUGGGUAAAACCAUUUAGUACCGUAGCUAACGCGUGAAGUUGACCGCCUGGGGAGUACGGCCGCAAGGUUAAAACUCAAAGGAAUUGACGGGGACCCGCACAAGCGGUGGAUGAUGUGGAUUAAUUCGAUGCAACGCGAAAAACCUUACCUACCCUUGACAUGCCAGGAACUUGCCAGAGAUGGCUUGGUGCCCGAAAGGGAGCCUGGACACAGGUGCUGCAUGGCUGUCGUCAGCUCGUGUCGUGAGAUGUUGGGUUAAGUCCCGCAACGAGCGCAACCCUUGUCGUUAAUUGCCAUCAUUUAGUUGGGCACUUUAGCGAGACUGCCGGUGACAAACCGGAGGAAGGUGGGGAUGACGUCAAGUCCUCAUGGCCCUUAUGGGUAGGGCUUCACACGUCAUACAAUGGUCGGUACAAAGGGUCGCCAAGCCGCGAGGUGGAGCCAAUCCCAGAAAGCCGAUCGUAGUCCGGAUUGCAGGCUGCAACUCGCCUGCAUGAAGUCGGAAUCGCUAGUAAUCGUGGAUCAGCAUGUCACGGUGAAUACGUUCCCGGGUCUUGUACACACCGCCCGUCACACCAUGGGAGCGGGUUCCGCCAGAAGUAGGUAGCCUAACCGCAAGGAGGGCGCUUACCACGGCGGGGUUCGUGACUGGGGUGAAGUCGUAACAAGGUAGCCGUAGGGGAACCUGCGGCUG
rnacentral:rRNA from 1 species